UACGGAGGGUGCGAGCGUUAAUCGGAAUUACUGGGCGUAAAGCGCACGUAGGUGGUUGGGUAAGUCGGAUGUGAAAGCCCUGGGCUUAACCUGGGAACUGCAUUCGAUACUGUCCGACUAGAGUAUGGGAGAGGGAAGCGGAAUUUCCGGUGUAGCGGUGAAAUGCGUAGAUAUCGGAAGGAACACCAAUGGCGAAGGCAGCUUCCUGGCCCAAUACUGACACUCAGGUGCGAAAGCGAGGGGAUCAAACAGG
rnacentral:rRNA from 1 species